GUAAUGGUGUAAUUUACACAAAAUAGUAGCUGCUUCUUUUGUGAAAGCCAGUAGAACAGGGCAAAACGCUCUCUGUAAAAAGAGAGCGGCGUUUAAAAGCACAGUAAAAGAAGAAAUGCUAAAGCAGGCUCUCCGAGUCCGACUCGGUGCUAUCUCCUCUUCACCUGCCUCCUCUACCAUGUUGUCUUCUUCUUCUUCGAUUCUCGCCCUCAGAAGCAACAACCCUGCCUCUCUUCUUCCUUCUAGAUUCUUCAGCAAUGGAGUUCUCAACAACCAACUCGUUUUCUCGCCUCACUUCCCACGCUCCAUUUCCCUUCGGUGUUUCGCUUCUUCCAGUGAAUUCGAUAAAGUUCAAGUUCUAAAUCCGAUCGUCGAAAUGGACGGUGAUGAAAUGACGAGGAUUAUUUGGAGUUUGAUAAAAGACAAACUUAUAUUCCCUUAUUUGAAUUUGGACGUGAAAUACUUUGAUUUAGGGAUAUUGAAUCGUGAUGCGACUGAUGACAAAGUUACAGUUGAAAGUGCUGAAGCAGCUCUAAAGUAUAAUGUUGCCAUCAAAUGUGCCACAAUCACUCCUGAUGAGACAAGAGUAAAAGAAUUUGGGCUGAAAUCUAUGUGGAGAAGUCCUAAUGGAACAAUUAGAAACAUCUUAAACGGUACUGUCUUUCGUGAACCUAUCCUAUGCAGGAAUAUACCAAGAAUUGUUCCUGGUUGGAAGAAACCCAUAUGCAUUGGCAGACAUGCCUUUGGUGAUCAGUAUCGUGCCACUGAUACAGUGAUUACUGGACCAGGAAAGCUCAAGAUGGUUUUUGUCCCAGAAGGUGGAGACAAGCCAGUGGAGCUUGAUGUCUAUAACUUUAAAGGACCUGGUGUAGCACUUGCUAUGUAUAAUGUGGACGAGUCAAUUCGUGCUUUUGCUCAGUCCUCUAUGUCAUUGGCUUUUUCAAAGAAGUGGCCUCUUUACCUGAGCACAAAAAACACUAUUCUAAAGAAGUAUGAUGGCAGGUUUAAGGACAUAUUCCAAGAGGUGUAUGAACGAAACUGGAAGGACAAGUUUGAAGAAAAUUCUAUAUGGUAUGAACAUCGACUGAUUGAUGACAUGGUGGCGUAUGCCGUAAAAAGUGAAGGGGGAUAUGUUUGGGCAUGUAAAAAUUAUGAUGGAGAUGUCCAAAGUGAUCUACUUGCUCAAGGAUUUGGUUCUUUGGGCCUGAUGACUUCUGUGUUGCUGUCGUCUGAUGGGAAGACACUAGAAGCUGAGGCAGCUCAUGGGACUGUAACACGACAUUUCAGGCUACAUCAAAAGGGACAAGAAACCAGUACAAACAGCAUUGCUUCCAUAUUUGCAUGGACAAGAGGGUUGGAGCACAGAGCUAAACUAGAUAAAAAUGAAAGGUUGCUGGACUUUGUUCAGAAGUUAGAAGCUGCUUGCAUCGAGACAGUUGAGGCAGGAAAAAUGACGAAGGAUCUUGCCAUUUUAACCCAUGGACCCAAGUAUGUUACUCUCGUUGUAUGAUUUUUCCAUUGCUGAUGUUUCUUAUUUUGAACUUCUAUGUUACUUAGUCUCAGGUGUAACUGAGUGUUGAAUACGGAUAUGUGUCGAACACUGGCUUUUUCAAUUUUGUUAUAAGUUUUCCAUGUAUUGGAAUGAUAUUUGGGGGGUCAUCUCCCAUACCCUUGUCCAAAUAUGCAUCUGACAUGGGUGUCAAACAUGAGUACUCCAAGAAAAAUGAAGAUUUAGAAUAAUAUAGGUGAAUUUCACCCCCAUAAUCUGAUCUUUCGUCAGAUGGUUCUUCCUUACCUGCACCAGCCACUUUAUGGUAACUAGAGAGUUUUACUUGAACACGGAAGAAUUCAUUGAUGCUGUUGCAGUAAAUCUUGACUUGAAGCUUCGGGAACCAGCUUUGUGCAAGUAGACACUUACAUUAAGUUGCUCAGGUAAUUUCCAACAUUUGAAGACAUUUUUUAUGGCGCAUGACAAGGCAUAAACCACAAACUGAAUGUUGAACCUAUUUUUCAAAUGCCAGAAGGACUUUGGAAUCAAUUGGAUGUACAUUUUUAUGAAACUGGUACAUUUUGUAGUCUCCAGCUAUAUGUUAGCUAGAGUCGGGGGUGGCUGUAGGAUAUAAACAUGCAUCAAUGCAUCUUCAUUUUUCCUUUAAAAAGGGAUUUUAUAUUUGAUGUCCUCACUUAUGUCAAAUAAGUAUAUCUAAAAAAAUAAUAAUAAAGAACCCGGAUAACAUGGGUCUCCUUUUUA